GUCGGGAAUUUUGGGCAAUGGGCGAAAGCCUGACCCAGCAACGCCGCGUGAAGGAUGAAGUAUUUCGGUAUGUAAACUUCGAAAGAAUAGGAAGAAUAAAUGACGGUACUAUUUAUAAGCUCCGGCUAACUACGUGCCAGCAGCCGCGGUAAUACGUAGGGAGCAAGCGUUGUUCGGAUUUACUGGGCGUAAAGGGCGCGUAGGCGGCGCGGUAAGUCACUUGUGAAAUCUCUGAGCUUAACUCAGAACGGCCAAGUGAUACUGCAGUGCUAGAGUGCAGAAAGGGCAAUCGGAAUUCUUGGUGUAGCGGUGAAAUGCGUAGAUAUCAAGAGGAACACCUGAGGCGAAGGCGGGUUGCUAGGCUGACACUGACGCUGAGGCGCGAAAGCCAGGGGAGCAAACGGGAUUAGAAACCCUAGUAGUCC
rnacentral:rRNA from 1 species